CCUACGGGAGGCUGCAGUGAGGAAUAUUGGUCAAUGGACGCAAGUCUGAACCAGCCAUGCCGCGUGCAGGAAGACGGCUCUAUGAGUUGUAAACUGCUUUUGUACGAGGGUAAACGCAGAUACGCGUAUCUGUCUGAAAGUAUCGUACGAAUAAGGAUCGGCUAACUCCGUGCCAGCAGCCGCGGUAAUACGGAGGAUUCAAGCGUUAUCCGGAUUUAUUGGGUUUAAAGGGUGCGUAGGCGGUCGGAUAAGUUAGAGGUGAAAUCCCGGGGGUCAACUUCGGAAUUGCCUUUGAUACUGUUCAGCUAGAGAGUAGUUGCGGUAGGCGGAAUGUAUGGUGUAGCGGUGAAAUGCUUAGAGAUCAUACAGAACACCGAUUGCGAAGGCAGCUUACCAAGCUACUUCUGACGUUGAGGCACGAAAGCGUGGGGAGCAAACAGGAUUAGAUACCCCAGUAGUC
rnacentral:rRNA from 1 species